AUUGAACGCUGGCGGCAGGCCUAACCCAUGCAAGUCGAGCGAGCGGCGGACGGGUGAGUAAUGUCUGGGAAACUGACUGAUGGAGGGGGAUACCUACUGGAAACGGUAGCUCAUACCGCAUACCCUCAGAUGUGCCCAGAUGGGAUUAGCUAGUAGGUUGGGUAACGGCUCACCUAGGCGACGAUCCCUAGCUGUUCUGCGAGGAUGACCAGCCAACCUGGAACUGAGACACGGUCCAUACUCCUACGGGAGGCAGCAGUGGGGAAUAUUGCACAAUGGGCGCAAUCCUGAUUCAGCCAUUCCGCGUGUAUGAAGAAGGCCGUCGGGUUGUAAAGUACUUUCAGCGGGGAGGCGUUACCCGCAGAAGAAGCACCGGCUAACGCCGUGCCAGCAGCCGCGGUAAUUC
rnacentral:rRNA from 1 species